UUUGACGCUUAACAAGCUAGGUGGAGGCUUGGGAAAGAAGCGGGUCAAACGGAUCGAGUACGCGAAAAAGAGCCUAACCGGAUGCAAGGUGAACCGAGUAAACAUUCGGAAUGAAGAUCAAGCAUGGACAAGAACCGAACACAC